ACCCGGCCCAACACCCUUAAGUCCUCUUCAACAUUAAACAACAGCAAUUCCCAAAUCACGACAACACCUUCAAAACGACAACAACGAUGAACGUCAACAUCGAACAACAACAACAAGACCUGACCCAUUUUGAUGACGAACACCAACAACUAAUCAACGAUCCGAACAGCCCCGACCCAGUGACCCAUCGACGAACAGCCCAAAAUCUAAAACAACCCGAUCCCUCUCCAUGCACAAAAAAGCCAAGAAGCUUCUAGAAUAGGUCCAGGUGUCCACCUCAACGGCUAAAUUCCGUGAAUCUAGGGAUGACUGGUACGAACUCAUACAUUUUUGACAAAUUUUCAUUGGUUCGUAAGAGGUUUUAUUCCUAUUGACUGCUAUUUUUAAUUGGGGGAAAGAAAAAUCCAAAAGGGGGGGGAGAUUCUUUCUGGAUUCAAGGGAUAAGAAGGAACCCUAAAUUAUGCUCUAUAUAAGGGCUCACUUUUGAGCCAAAAAGGGAGAGAUUUUUCUUUUUUUCCUUUCUGGGUUGGAAAUUCUGGUUCGAAAAAACUGACGGAGAAAAAAAAAAUAAAGAAAACCGUGGAGAAAAAUUCAAUAUUUUGGUAGAAAUUUUGUUUUCCAAAAGUUCGUCGUCUAAAUUAUGGCUUCGAGCUGAAGGCGAAGACAUUCUCCGGUGGUUGUGAUUCCGACGUUAGCUCGAGUUUCCGUUUUGCUGUCUCGGAAGAGUCCAAACGAACUCUUUUUUCUUCCAUUCCUUAAUGGGCCAAUGAGGCCCAUCUCAUUAAGUCAAGCCCGAAGUUCUAAGUCCAAAAGUGAUCCCAUAGUGUAUAAAUACGAGGAGUCAGAAGAAGAAGGGCGGGUCGAAAUCCACAUUUGAAGCGGCUAAGAGACUCAAAAGUCUUAUUUGUUAUUUUAUUUAAUUAUUGUUGUCUUUGUUUAUUUUAUUUCCUUAUUUAUUUAUUCAUUUAUUUUGGGGGCUUCGAA